rnacentral:rRNA from 1 species
GAUGAACGCUAGCGGCAGGCCAAAUACAUGCAAGUCGAACGGUGUCUUCGGACAUAGUGGCGCACGGGCGCGUAACACGUAUGCAACCUACCUUACAUUGGGGGAUAGCCUUUCGAAAGGGAGAUUAAUACCGCAUAAGACAGUAGCUGGGCAUCCAGCAGCUGUUAAAGAUUUAUCGAUGUAAGCUGGGCAUGCGUCCAAUUAGCUAGUUGGUGAGGUAACGGCUCACCAAGGCAAUGAUUGGUAGGGGAACUGAGAGGUCAAUCCCCCACACGGGAACUGAGAUACGGGCCAGACUCCUACGGGGGGGAGAAGUAGGGAAUAUUGGGCAAUGGACGCAAGUCUGACACAGCCAUGCCGCGUGGAGGAUGAAGGCGUUAUGCGUUGUAAACUGCUUUUAUACAGGAAGAAACGACUCUUGCGAGAGGCAUUGACGGUACUGUAUGAAUAAGCACCGGCUAACUCCGUGCCAGCCGCCGCGGUAAAAC